rnacentral:rRNA from 1 species
UCAAGCNCGGUACUCGCGAAUGACUCUAGAUUAGACGUUUGAUCAUGGCUCAGACUUGAGACCGCUGGCUGUGCACAGGCCUAACACAUGCAAGUCGAGCGGUAACACAGGGAGCUUGCUCCUGGGUGACGAGCGGCGGACGGGUGAGUAAUGUCUGGGAAACUGCCUGAUGGAGGGGGAUAACUACUGGAAACGGUAGCUAAUACCGCAUAACGUCUUCGGACCAAAGUGGGGGACCUUCGGGCCUCAUGCCAUCAGAUGUGCCCAGAUGGGAUUAGCUAGUAGGUGGGGUAACGGCUCACCUAGGCGACGAUCCCUAGCUGGUCUGAGAGGAUGACCAGCCACACUGGAACUGAGACACGGUCCAGACUCCUACGGGAGGCAGCAGUGGGGAAUAUUGCACAAUGGGUGCAAGCCUGAUGCAGCCAUGCCGCGUGUAUGAAGAAGGCCUUCGGGUUGUAAAGUACUUUCAGCGAGGAGGAAGGCAUUAAGGUUAAUAACCUUGGUGAUUGACGUUACUCGCAGAAGGAAGCACCGGCUAACUCCGUGCCAAGCANCACGCGGGGUAAUUACGGGGAGGGUGCCCAAGCGGUUUAAUCCGGAAAUANACCUGGGCGUAAAAAAGGCNCCAGCCCAGNGGGGCCUGUCAAGUCGGANUGUUAAAUCUCCCCGGGGUUCACACCUGGGAAANCUGGCGGUUUCNAAAAACUUGNCCGGGCUNAAANCUUGUUAGCAAAGCGGGGGGUCGAAAUCCCGGGUAAACGGNAAAAUCGUUAAGACUCGGGGAAUAAACCCGUGGGGAAAGCGNCCCCUGAAAAUUGAGGNAUGNCANANCAGUGUGGCCAGGCAAUAACAAGAAC